CAAAAACAUGUCUGUAUGAAGUUAAAUAGAGUCUAUUCUGCCCAUUGAAUAAUUUAUUUAAAAGGCCGCAGUAUCCUAACUGUGCAAAGGUAGCAUAAUCAUUAGUUUUUUAAUUGGAGGCUUGUAUGAACGAUUGGACAAGAACUAAACUGUCUCUUUUUUAGUUUGUUGAAUUUUAUUUCUAAGUGAAAAAGCUUAGAUAGUUAAGAGGGACGAUAAGACCCUAUAAAUCUUUAUAAAAAUUUAUUUUUAGAAUAAUAUAUUUAUUUAAAGUAUUUUAAAAAUAUUAUUUUAUUAUACUGGGGCGGUAUUAAUAUAAAAUAAACUGUUAAUAAAUUAAACAAAUAUAUUUGAAAUUUAAUGAUCCUUAUUAUAGAUUAAAAGAAAAAGUUACUUUAGGGAUAACAGCAUAAUUUUUUUUGAGAGUUCGAAUCGAAAAAAAAGUUUGUGACCUCGAUGUUGAAUUAAGAAAUCCUUGUGGUGCAGCAGUUAUAAAGGAAAGUCUGUUCGACUUUUAAAUUUUUACAUGAUUUGA
rnacentral:rRNA from 1 species